rnacentral:rRNA from 1 species
UACAGGGGGGGCAAGCGUUGUUCGGAAUUACUGGGCGUAAAGGGCUCGUAGGUGGCCAACUAAGUCAGACGUGAAAUCCCUCAGCUUAACUGGGGAACUGCGUCUGAUACUGGAUGGCUUGAGUUUGGGAGAGGGAUGCGGAAUUCCAGGUGUAGCGGUGAAAUGCGUAGAUAUCUGGAGGAACACCGGUGGCGAAGGCGGCAUCCUGGACCAAUACUGACACUGAGGAGCGAAAGCAUGGGGAGCGAACAGG